rnacentral:lncRNA from 1 species
UCCCCCCAGAGGUUAAACGGGAAGUGACAACUUUCCCAAAAAUUUUACUUCUGGGUAACCGACAGUAGGCUUGAAUAACCUAAACAUGUGUUUUACGGUUGGGAUGGACUGCACAGCCAAAAGUGUGCACUGGAUAGUUGGCAGCAGUUUAGAGGGGCCCCUUGGUAUCUCACAACUUGCAACUCACAUGGGAUGUCUGGUCAGAACCCAACAACCACAAUGGUCACUAGCUGGACAGAUUCCUCUCGAAAGGGGAGCCCUGUAGAUGAACUGCCUGCCGUGUCUUUGGCUGUAUAGGCGACCAUACAGUGACUCAAGAGAAGAAUGAAUUACACGUGUGAAACC